AUACGGAGGGUGCAAGCGUUACUCGGAAUCACUGGGCGUAAAGCGCGCGCAGGCGGCUAUUUAAGUUGGAUGUGAAAGCCUACGGCUCAACCGUAGAACUGCAUCCAAAACUAUUUAGCUAGAGUGUGGGAGAGGAAGAUGGAAUUAGUCGUGUAGGGGUAAAAUCCGUAGAGAUAACUAGGAAUACCAAAAGCGAAGGCAAUCUUCUGGAACACUACUGACGCUGAGGCGCGAAGGCGUGGGGAGCAAACAGGAGUAGAAACCCCUGUAGUCC
rnacentral:rRNA from 1 species